GAGAUAGCAGAAGCUUACCUCGGUACCUCCGUGAAGAACGCCGUCGUCACCGUUCCUGCUUACUUCAAUGACUCUCAGCGUCAGGCCACCAAGGACGCCGGAGUCAUUGCCGGUCUUAAUGUCAUGCGGAUCAUCAACGAGCCUACAGCUGCUGCUAUUGCUUAUGGACUCGAUAAAAAGGCGAGCAGUGUUGGCGAGAAGAAUGUUCUGAUUUUUGAUCUGGGUGGAGGAACGUUUGAUGUCUCUCUCCUCACAAUUGAGGAAGGCAUUUUCGAGGUGAAGGCAACUGCCGGUGACACCCAUCUCGGCGGUGAGGAUUUCGACAACAGAUUGGUUAACCAUUUUGUUCAAGAAUUCAA
rnacentral:misc_RNA from 1 species